AGUUCUCGUUGAUGAUCGGUGCUUGCACCGAGAUCCAACACUCCAUCGAGUGGCGGACGGGUGAGUAACACGUGGGUAACCUGCCCUUAAGUGGGGGAUAACAUUUGGAAACAGAUGCUAAUACCGCAUAGAUCCAAGAACCGCAUGGUUCUUGGCUGAAAGAUGGCGUAAGCUAUCGCUUUUGGAUGGACCCGCGGCGUAUUAGCUAGUUGGUGAGGUAAUGGCUCACCAAGGCGAUGAUACGUAGCCGAACUGAGAGGUUGAUCGGCCACAUUGGGACUGAGACACGGCCCAAACUCCUACGGGAGGCAGCAGUAGGGAAUCUUCCACAAUGGACGCAAGUCUGAUGGAGCAACGCCGCGUGAGUGAAGAAGGCUUUCGGGUCGUAAAACUCUGUUGUUGGAGAAGAAUGGUCGGCAGAGUAACUGUUGUCGGCGUGACGGUAUCCAACCAGAAAGCCACGGCUAACUACGUGCCAGCAGCCGCGGUAAUACGUAGGUGGCAAGCGUUAUCCGGAUUUAUUGGGCGUAAAGCGAGCGCAGGCGGUUUUUUAAGUCUGAUGUGAAAGCCCUCGGCUUAACCGAGGAAGCGCAUCGGAAACUGGGAAACUUGAGUGCAGAAGAGGACAGUGGAACUCCAUGUGUAGCGGUGAAAUGCGUAGAUAUAUGGAAGAACACCAGUGGCGAAGGCGGCUGUCUGGUCUGUAACUGACGCUGAGGCUCGAAAGCAUGGGUAGCGAACAGGAUUA
rnacentral:rRNA from 1 species